UCAAUUUUUACUAUAUUUAAAAUGGCUUACCAAAAUGCUAGUUUCACUAGAUGAGGCUUACCAAGAAACAAGGAUGGUUAAAUGAUCACUCAUGCAUUGAAUAUAAAAAUAGCAUUCAACAUAAAGAGGUCAUCGUGGAUAAAUUAAAAUUUUGAAGGAACUGCAUUACUAUUGAUAUGGAACAACAAGAUUGAGAAAGAAGCCAUAAAUCUUCAGCCUAAUCAUCUCAACAAGAUACAAGUGAGAUUGGAAAUAUGAGAAAUAAGGUUAUUGCACUCGGGGAGAAACUUCAACAUGAUAGGGAGAAAUAUGAAAAAAAAAUGCCAAAGUACAUGAUCCCAAAGUUUCGAGAAUUCAAGUGCACAAUAUUCACACCUACAAGUAAUGAAGCUGAUACUUUAGAUGGAUUACUCAGGCAUAGUGACAACACGAUCUAUGGCGUUAGUAAAGACAUUUAUUACUUCUUUUAUCUAAAAGCCUUUAUGCUUUAGAAUUGAUAAAUUGGUAUUAUUUCGA